ensembl:snRNA U6 U6 spliceosomal RNA
AAUUUACAAAUUAACUGAUUAAUUUGGAAAGAUGCAGAGAAGAUUAGCAUGACCAUUGCACAAGGAAGACAUGAAAAUCUGUGAAGCAUUCCAUGAAUUC